rnacentral:rRNA from 1 species
AACGUAGGACGCAAGCGUUAUCCGGAAUUACUGGGCGUAAAGGGCGUGCAGGCGGUCUGUUAAGUUAGGCGUGAAAGCUCCCGGCUAAACCGGGAGAGGUCGUCUGAUACUGGCAGACUAGAGUAUGGUAGAGGCGUGUAGAAUUCCGCGUGUAGUGGUGAAAUGCGUAGAGAUGCGGAGGAAUACCAGUGGCGAAGGCGGCACGCUGGGCCAUAACUGACGCUAAGACGCGAAAGCAUGGGUAGCGAACGGG